GAUGAACGCUAGCUACAGGCUUAACACAUGCAAGUCGAGGGGAAACGGCAUCGAAAGCUUGCUUUUGAUGGGCGUCGACCGGCGCACGGGUGAGUAACGCGUAUCCAACCUGCCCAUCACUUGGGAAUAACCUUGCGAAAGUAAGACUAAUGCCCAAUGACAUCCCACGAAGGCAUCCGAAUGGGAUUAAAGAUUUAUCGGUGAUGGAUAGGGAUGCGUCUGAUUAGCUUGUUGGCGGGGUGACGGCCCACCAAGGCAACGAUCAGUAGGGGUUCUGAGAGGAAGGUCCCCCACAUUGGAACUGAGACACGGUCCAGACUCCUACGGGAGGCAGCAGUGAGGAAUAUUGGUCAAUGGGCGAGAGCCUGAACCAGCCAAGUAGCGUGCAGGAUGACGGCCCUAUGGGUUGUAAACUGCUUUUAUAAGGGAAUAAAGUGGGUCACGUGUGACUUUUUGCAUGUACCUUAUGAAUAAGGACCGGCUAAUUCCGUG
rnacentral:rRNA from 1 species